rnacentral:rRNA from 1 species
CCUACGGGAGGCAGCAGUGAGGAAUAUUGGUCAAUGGCCGGAAGGCUGAACCAGCCAAGUCGCGUGAGGGAAUAAGGCCCUAUGGGUCGUAAACCUCUUUUGUCAGGGAGUAAAGGCGUCCACGUGUGGACGAGAGGAGAGUACCUGAAGAAAAAGCAUCGGCUAACUCCGUGCCAGCAGCAGCGGUAAUACGGAGGGUGCAAGCGUUACUCGGAAUCACUGGGCGGAAGGAGCGCGUAGGCGGGAUAGCAAGUCAGAUGUGAAAGACUAUGGCUCAACCAUAGAACUGCAUUUGAAACGGGUAGUCUAGAGUAUGGUUGAGGUAGGUGGAAUUCGUGGUGUAGGGGUAAAAUCCGUAGAGAUCAAGAGGAAUACUCAUUGCGAAGGCGACCUACUAGAACAUAACUGACGCUGAUGCGCGAAAGCGUGGGGAGCAAACAGGAUUAGAUACCCUAGUAGUC